UGUGUAGGCGGUUCUCUAAGUUCCGUGUGAAAUCUCCCGGCUUAACUGGGAGGGUGCGCGGGAAACUGGAGGGCUGGAGUAUGGGAGAGGAAAGCGGAAUUCCUGGUGUAGCGGUGAAAUGCGUAGAUAUCAGGAGGAACACCUGCGGUGUAGACAGCUUUCUGGACCAUCACUGACGCUGAGACACGAAAGCGUGGGUAGCAAACAGGAUUAGAUACCCUGGUAGUCCACGCCCUAAACGAUGCAUGCUUGGUGUGAGCCGUUCAUUCGGUUCGUGCCGGAGUUAACGCGUUAAGUAUGCCGCCUGGGGAGUACGGUCGCAAGGCUGAA
rnacentral:rRNA from 1 species